UGUCGGUUUUCUCCAGCAUUACUGACAAAUUAGAAGCCUCGACUGUUCCCGCAGUUGGGGCUUCGCU
rnacentral:antisense_RNA from 1 species